CCCGCCCAGCCAGUGACACUCAAACCACGCUUUAUGACAAGGAUCCACUUCUCUGACUCGUCGCAAGCACAGUUUUAAUUUGGAGCUUCUUUUUUGACAGCUCGACAACACCAGCUGCAGAAGCAGCAGCCCUGCCUGGUCAUGUGAUUAGCAUCCAAUCUGUAUGGGAAGAGAAGGGGGACAAACGACACGGAACACACUCGACUUCCAACAAGGGAACACAACACUGCACUGCCAAGAUUAUGUCGUCUAUGGUCACCCGAUCCAUGUCAUCAUCGGGGGGACCCUGUGCUCCACACAUAGACAAGUUCCAAACCACUAGAGAAGCCCAGAUGAGCAGACAUGUCGACUU